AUUGAACGCUGGCGGCAUGCCUAACACAUGCAAGUCGAACGGGAGUAGCAAUACUCUAGUGGCGGACGGGUGAGGAAUACGUAGGAAUUUGCCCUUAAGUGGGGGAUAACCCGGGGAGACCCGGAUUAAUACCGCAUGACCUCGAAAGAGCAAAGUGGGGGAUCGCAAGACCUCACGCUUUUGGAGAAGCCUACGUCGGAUUAGCUAGUUGGUGAGGUAAUGGCUCACCAAGGCGACGAUCCGUAACUGGUCUGAGAGGAUGAUCAGUCACACCGGAACUGAGACACGGUCCGG
rnacentral:rRNA from 1 species